rnacentral:lncRNA from 1 species
AUUAAGCAACCCCAGUCUUUUCUUCACUCAGCUCAUCUGACUCUGGCCUUUCCACUAGGGAGACUCAAAGAAGACAGAGAGCCUCCUGGAACUGUAACACAGAAACUCAGAGCCUACAGCAGAGGUGUGCAUGGGCAACUGUUCUCAUUCAAAAUCUAGCUCAACCAAUAGGCUCAGAAGUUUUCUCCAGUCACAUUCCUGGAUAAAGUCGGCACAACUAAGAACGCAGCAAAGCUGCCUUUUUUUUUUUUUUUUUUUUGCCCACUCCCAAAGACCCACAAGUAAUUGGUUCAGCCCUUCUCUUUAGCUAACACCCCUCCCAACACACACACAGAGAGAGCAGGAGGUCUAAGUAGUCACCAACUCCUGCCUCCAGAAGCACAGAAGUGGGGGGUGAGCGGGGGCCCAAGUUUCACUCCCAGAUCAAAGGUUUGUGGCCGAAAUCACUUUCAGGACAGCGCGUGAAAUCG